rnacentral:misc_RNA from 1 species
CGAGUUAGGGUCUUCUCAGGCCCGACCUCCCAACCCUUUGUCUAUUGAACCCUUGUUGCUUCGGCGGGCCCGUCGUUAUACGGCCGCCGGAGAACCGACUCCAGGUCCUCUGGCCCGCGCCCGCCGGUAGCCAAAAUCACCAAACUCUUGAAUAAUCGUGUCUAUGAUGUCUGAGUACUUUUAUUAAAAUUAAGCAAAACUUUCAACAACGGAUCUCUUGGUUCUGGCAUCGA